GGGUUGUGAGGUUAAGCGACUAAGCGUACACGGUGGAUGCCCUGGCAGUCAGAGGCGAUGAAGGACGUGCUAAUCUGCGAAAAGCGUCGGUAAGGUGAUAUGAACCGUUAUAACCGGCGAUGUCCGAAUGGGGAAACCCAGUGCAAUUCGUUGCACUAUCGUUAACUGAAUACAUAGGUUAACGAGGCGAACCGGGGGAACUGAAACAUCUAAGUACCCCGAGGAAAAGAAAUCAACCGAGAUUCCCCCAGUAGCGGCGAGCGAACGGGGAGCAGCCCAGAGUCUGAAUCAGCUUGUGUGUUAGUGGAACGGUCUGGAAAGUCCGACGGUACAGGGUGAUAGUCCCGUACACCAAAAUGCACAGGCUGUGAACUCGAAGAGUAGGGCGGGACACGUGGUAUCCUGUCUGAAUAUGGGGGGACCAUCCUCCAAGGCUAAAUACUCCUGACUGACCGAUAGUGAACCAGUACCGUGAGGGAAAGGCGAAAAGAACCCCGGCGAGGGGAGUGAAAAAGAACCUGAAACCGUGUACGUACAAGCAGUGGGAGCACCUUCGGGUGUGACUGCGUACCUUUUGUAUAAUGGGUCAGCGACUUAUAUUCUGUAGCAAGGUUAACCGUAUAGGGGAGCCGCAGGGAAACCGAGUCUUAACUGGGCGUUAAGUUGCAGGGUAUAGACCCGAAACCCGGUGAUCUAGCCAUGGGCAGGUUGAAGGUUGGGUAACACUAACUGGAGGACCGAACCGACUAAUGUUGAAAAAUUAGCGGAUGACUUGUGGCUGGGGGUGAAAGGCCAAUCAAACCGGGAGAUAGCUGGUUCUCCCCGAAAGCUAUUUAGGUAGCGCCUCGUGAAUUCAUCUUCGGGGGUAGAGCACUGUUUCGGCUAGGGGGUCAUCCCGACUUACCAACCCGAUGCAAACUACGAAUACCGAAGAAUGUUAUCACGGGAGACACACGGCGGGUGCUAACGUCCGUCGUGAAGAGGGAAACAACCCAGACCGCCAGCUAAGGUCCCAAAGUCAUGGUUAAGUGGGAAACGAUGUGGGAAGGCACAGACAGCCAGGAUGUUGGCUUAGAAGCAGCCAUCAUUUAAAGAAAGCGUAAUAGCUCACUGGUCGAGUCGGCCUGCGCGGAAGAUGUAACGGGGCUAAACCAUGCACCGAAGCUGCGGCAGCGACACUAUGUGUUGUUGGGUAGGGGAGCGUUCUGUAAGCCUGCGAAGGUGUGCUGUGAGGCAUGCUGGAGGUAUCAGAAGUGCGAAUGCUGACAUAAGUAACGAUAAAGCGGGUGAAAAGCCCGCUCGCCGGAAGACCAAGGGUUCCUGUCCAACGUUAAUCGGGGCAGGGUGAGUCGACCCCUAAGGCGAGGCCGAAAGGCGUAGUCGAUGGGAAACAGGUUAAUAUUCCUGUACUUGGUGUUACUGCGAAGGGGGGACGGAGAAGGCUAUGUUAGCCGGGCGACGGUUGUCCCGGUUUAAGCAUGUAGGCUGAUUGUCCAGGCAAAUCCGGAUAAUCAAGGCUGAGGUGUGAUGACGAGGCACUACGGUGCUGAAGUAACAAAUGCCCUGCUUCCAGGAAAAGCCUCUAAGCAUCAGGUAACAUCAAAUCGUACCCCAAACCGACACAGGUGGUCAGGUAGAGAAUACCAAGGCGCUUGAGAGAACUCGGGUGAAGGAACUAGGCAAAAUGGUGCCGUAACUUCGGGAGAAGGCACGCUGGUGUGUAGGUGAAGUCCCUGCGGAUGGAGCUGAGACCAGUCGAAGAUACCAGCUGGCUGCAACUGUUUAUUAAAAACACAGCACUGUGCAAACACGAAAGUGGACGUAUACGGUGUGACGCCUGCCCGGUGCCGGAAGGUUAAUUGAUGGGGUUAUCCGUAAGGAGAAGCUCUUGAUCGAAGCCCCGGUAAACGGCGGCCGUAACUAUAACGGUCCUAAGGUAGCGAAAUUCCUUGUCGGGUAAGUUCCGACCUGCACGAAUGGCGUAAUGAUGGCCAGGCUGUCUCCACCCGAGACUCAGUGAAAUUGAACUCGCUGUGAAGAUGCAGUGUACCCGCGGCAAGACGGAAAGACCCCGUGAACCUUUACUAUAGCUUGACACUGAACAUUGAGCCUUGAUGUGUAGGAUAGGUGGGAGGCUUUGAAGCGUGGACGCCAGUCUGCGUGGAGCCAACCUUGAAAUACCACCCUUUAAUGUUUGAUGUUCUAACGUUGGCCCCUUACCGGGGUUGCGGACAGUGUCUGGUGGGUAGUUUGACUGGGGCGGUCUCCUCCCAAAGCGUAACGGAGGAGCACGAAGGUUAGCUAAUCCUGGUCGGACAUCAGGAGGUUAGUGCAAUGGCAUAAGCUAGCUUGACUGCGAGCGUGACGGCGCGAGCAGGUGCGAAAGCAGGUCAUAGUGAUCCGGUGGUUCUGAAUGGAAGGGCCAUCGCUCAACGGAUAAAAGGUACUCCGGGGAUAACAGGCUGAUACCGCCCAAGAGUUCAUAUCGACGGCGGUGUUUGGCACGUCGAUGUCGGCUCAUCACAUCCUGGGGCUGAAGUAGGUACCAAGGGUAUGGUUGUUCGCCAUUUAAAGUGGUACGCGAGCUGGGUUUAGAACGUCGUGAGACAGUUCGGUCCCUAUCUGCCGUGGGCGCUGGAGAAUUGAGGGGGGCUGCUCCUAGUACGAGAGGACCGGAGUGGACGCAUCACUGGUGUUCGGGUUGUCAUGCCAAUGGCACUGCCCGGUAGCUAAAUGCGGAAGAGAUAAGUGCUGAAAGCAUCUAAGCACGAAACUUGCCCCGAGAUGAGUUCUCCCUGAGACUUUAAGUCUCCUGAAGGAACGUUAAAGACGAUGACGUUGAUAGGCCGGGUGUGUAAGCGCAGCGAUGCGUUGAGCUAACCGGUACUAAUGAACCGUGAGGCUUAACCUUACAACGCCGAAG
rnacentral:rRNA from 1 species